GGCAUGGUGGCUCAGUGGUUAAAGCGCCUGCCUCAUGAACGGGAGGUCGUGGGUUCGAACUCCGGCCGAGUCU
rnacentral:tRNA from 1 species